ensembl:lncRNA
CUCGCGAGAUUUGCACGGUUGGGAGGCAGGGGGGGGUCCUGGGGGGGGUGGGGGAAGUGCCGACAGUGGGGGAGGAGGGGGAGGGGACGAGGAAGGUGGGGGGGUCCCCGCUGCCCCGGCGCCCCGCCUCCUCCAAUCAGCGGCCGGCCUGCCGGGCAGGGGUUAACCAGGGGACCCCGCGCAGGCGAAGGAGGCCGCCGCCUCGCCGGGCGGCUGAGGGCGGGCUGACGGGCGGCGCCGACGGACGCACCGCGACGCGAGGGGAGGUCUGACCCGGCUGGGCCGGAGUCCCGGAGACCCCGCAGCCGUCUUCGUAAAAUCGGCCCCCGCCCCGCGGGACCGGCCCCAGCAGAGCGGUUGGGCCGGCGCCCUGGGUCGCGGACCAACGCUGGAGGGGCCUCGCUGCCUGGGCCGGGCGCUUCCCGGAUCCGCCUCGCCGAACCCUGCGCCCGCCUAAUCCCUGAUCUCCACGAGUUUGGGUGAGAAGUGGGGUUGCUCUGCCCAGGAUGGAUUUUAAAGGAAGAAAGCCGUGAGCCGACGAACCCCGCCCGAACUUCCCCGGAGACGCCCAGUUAUGAAUGGUCAAAACAGUAACUCCUUAAAAUGACACUGGAACAUCUCAAAAGAGAAGAGUUUAAGAGAAAGAACACUGGACAGAGCUGGAGCUGAGCUCCGGCCAGCUCCUCCACAGACAAACUGCUCGGGCCGCUACCUAACCUGUCAAGUUUCGCCAACCUCAUCUGUGAAGGAGUUUGGACCAGAGGAUUCCCAGAGUCUUUUCCAGGUCUAAAGGGCUAUGAUUCCAUUUUUUGAGGUAACUAUGAAAAAAUAAAAAUAAAACUAGUCAUUGAAAUUCAGGAAAAGAUGAGAUUUUGUUUCACUUUGCCUAGUGUGUUUUUCCCUGCAUGUCCGAAAACUGACACUAUCAUAGGGUCUGUUCAUAGCCCACUCCACAUCUAACACUCAUCCCGAGAGGAAUUGCUCAUAGGAAUUUCAUGGAUUUGCUUACCACAAAAAUGGUGUACUUCUGUUUGUUGUUCAGUCACCCAGUCCUGUCC